rnacentral:lncRNA from 1 species
AUCAUUUUUAGCAGGACUCUGCUUGAAGAUGUGGCAGCCUUCAGUCAAGGUCAUGUCUAGAGGCUCAAUACUGGGUAGUAUGAACACCCUGCAUCUGGAGGGCUCGAAAAUUUGAGGCUUACACUGAAACAAGUUUGGAUUGUCUGCAUCUCUCUCUAUUGAGGUCCCUCUGGCAUAGAGCACUGAAAUGCUAGUUCAACUAGCACCUAGGUGCUAGUUCAUAGACCCUGAAACCCCCAGGCUGGGGGUCUUGGCCUGCUGUCCUGCAGUCUGGUAAUGUGGCUGUGACUCAAACUGCUGCAUGACCGUGGGCCAUGCUACCACGAUCCCAGGCAUCCCAGAGACCCCAGAAUCAUAGGCACUAGUUCAACUAGUGCCUAUGAACUAGCAUUUUUCCCUCAUAGUCGACAGAAGAUCCCUGUUCUCCCAGCCCUUGGGCAGGCCCUAGGGUAGGAAGGUUGGAGGACACACAAGCAUAGUGCCUCUUUCCCAGGUUUUCCUCUGGGCAUGCCUGAUCCACUGUGGCCAGCUGGGGGGCACCCCCCUGCAGGAAAUCCUCCAGGGUGGGACCAUGGGGCCAAUAUCUGACCUGGACCCUGGAACUUCGGCAAGAUGCCCUUGGCAACAGUCACGAGCACUGAGCCCUCCUCUGGAUGGAGAAACCCUCCCUCUGGGCCUAGCCCUCAUCCAUAAAAUGGGGCUUUGCUAGGGGUACGCUCAGUCCCCUCCAAGCACUAGUAUUCCCAGAUAAACCUACGAAUGAUGCCCAGUCAAUGUUUUUGUUUGUUUUUGGUUUUUUUUUUGUUUUUUGCAGAGGACGAGGGAAAAUGUCUGGACCACUGCUGGCCUAACAGUUCACAGAAAGCUGCCACUGUGCACUGGAAAGGAAUGAGAUGCCUGAGUAGCCCAGGAGGAGGCUGCCAAGGGGCACAGCAGAGUUUGCCUUGAAGCCACAGACUGGACCUUUAAUUCCAUCCCAUCUGUCUGAUCAGUCACCGAUGCUCCCCAUGCCUUAGUUUAUCAAUAAAAUGAUAAAAUGAUGUGUUGUGAUGACUAGUACAUAUGUAGAUUUCAGCUCAUAUGAAAUCAUAGGGACGAGCCUGGCCAAUAGGGUGAAACCCAGUCUCUACUAAAAAAUACAGAAAUUCCCCAGGCAUGGUGGCGCGUGCUUGUAAUCCCAGCUACUUGGGAGGCUGAGGCAGGAGAAUCGCUUGAACGGGGGAGGUUGGGGGGGCGGAGGUUGCAGUGAGCUGAGAUCGCACCACUGCACUCCAGCCCAGGAAAAAGUGCAAGACUCUGUCUCACAAAAAAAGAAAGAAAUCAUAGUUACACCAUAAAGAGAACAACUGAUGUCCCCCAAACUCAACUGUUCUCCCCUACUGCCUAGUCUGUCUGGGUCCUCAGUCUGAGCUCAAGAGGCCACUCAUACACUCCUGAUGGCCCCC